rnacentral:tRNA from 1 species
GCCAGUGUGGUGUAGUGGUUUGAGCACUGGACUAAGAUUCUGGAGACCAGGGUUUGAAUCCCAGCUUGGUCA